UUAAGUUAGAAAGGGCGCACGGUGGAUGCCUUGACACUAGGAGUCGAUGAAGGACGGGACUAACGCCGAUAUGCUUCGGGGAGCUGUAAGUAAGCUUUGAUCCGAAGAUUUCCGAAUGGGGAAACCCACCAUACGUAAUGGUAUGGUAUCCUUAUCUGAAUACAUAGGGUAAGGAAGACAGACCCAGGGAACUGAAACAUCUAAGUACCUGGAGGAAGAGAAAGCAAAUGCGAUUUCCUGAGUAGCGGCGAGCGAAACGGAACAUAGCCCAAACCAAGAGGCUUGCCUCUUGGGGUUGUAGGACAUUCUAUACGGAGUUACAAAGGAACGAGGUAGACGAAGCGACCUGGAAAGGUCCGUCGUAGAGGGUAACAACCCCGUAGUCGAAACUUCGUUCUCUCUUGAAUGUAUCCUGAGUACGGCGGAACACGUGAAAUUCCGUCGGAAUCUGGGAGGACCAUCUCCCAAGGCUAAAUACUCCCUAGUGAUCGAUAGUGAACCAGUACCGUGAGGGAAAGGUGAAAAGCACCCCGGAAGGGAGUGAAAGAGAUCCUGAAACCGUGUGCCUACAAAUAGUCAGAGCCCGUUAACGGGUGAUGGCGUGCCUUUUGUAGAAUGAACCGGCGAGUUACGAUCCCGUGCGAGGUUAAGCUGAAGAGGCGGAGCCGCAGCGAAAGCGAGUCUGAAUAGGGCGUUUAGUACGUGGUCGUAGACCCGAAACCAGGUGAUCUACCCAUGUCCAGGGUGAAGUUCAGGUAACACUGAAUGGAGGCCCGAACCCACGCACGUUGAAAAGUGCGGGGAUGAGGUGUGGGUAGCGGAGAAAUUCCAAUCGAACCUGGAGAUAGCUGGUUCUCCCGAAAUAGCUUUAGGGCUAGCCUUAAGUGUAAGAGUCUUGGAGGUAGAGCACUGAUUGGACUAGGGGUCCUCAUCGGAUUACCGAAUUCAGUCAAACUCCGAAUGCCAAUGACUUAUCCUUAGGAGUCAGACUGCGAGUGAUAAGAUCCGUAGUCAAAAGGGAAACAGCCCAGACCGCCAGCUAAGGUCCCAAAGUGUGUAUUAAGUGGAAAAGGAUGUGGAGUUGCUUAGACAACUAGGAUGUUGGCUUAGAAGCAGCCACCAUUUAAAGAGUGCGUAAUAGCUCACUAGUCGAGUGACUCUGCGCCGAAAAUGUACCGGGGCUAAAUACACCACCGAAGCUGCGGAUUGAUACCAAUGGUAUCAGUGGUAGGGGAGCGUUCUAAGGACAGUGAAGUCAGACCGGAAGGACUGGUGGAGUGCUUAGAAGUGAGAAUGCCGGUAUGAGUAGCGAAAGACGGGUGAGAAUCCCGUCCACCGAAUGCCUAAGGUUUCCUGAGGAAGGCUCGUCCGCUCAGGGUUAGUCAGGACCUAAGCCGAGGCCGACAGGCGUAGGCGAUGGACAACAGGUUGAUAUUCCUGUACCACCUCUUUAUCGUUUGAGCAAUGGAGGGACGCAGAAGGAUAGAAGAAGCGUGCGAUUGGUUGUGCACGUCCAAGCAGUUAGGCUGAUAAGUAGGCAAAUCCGCUUAUCGUGAAGGCUGAGCUGUGAUGGGGAAGCUCCUUAUGGAGCGAAGUCUUUGAUUCCCCGCUGCCAAGAAAAGCUUCUAGCGAGAUAAAAGGUGCCUGUACCGCAAACCGACACAGGUAGGCGAGGAGAGAAUCCUAAGGUGUGCGAGAGAACUCUGGUUAAGGAACUCGGCAAAAUGACCCCGUAACUUCGGGAGAAGGGGUGCUUUCUUAACGGAAAGCCGCAGUGAAUAGGCCCAAGCGACUGUUUAGCAAAAACACAGCUCUCUGCGAAGCCGUAAGGCGAAGUAUAGGGGUGACACCUGCCCGGUGCUGGAAGGUUAAGGAGAGGGGUUAGCGUAAGCGAAGCUCUGAACUGAAGCCCCAGUAAACGGCGGCCGUAACUAUAACGGUCCUAAGGUAGCGAAAUUCCUUGUCGGGUAAGUUCCGACCCGCACGAAAGGUGUAACGAUUUGGGCACUGUCUCAACCAGAGACUCGGUGAAAUUAUAGUACCUGUGAAGAUGCAGGUUACCCGCGACAGGACGGAAAGACCCCGUGGAGCUUUACUGUAGCCUGAUAUUGAAUUUUGGUACAGUUUGUACAGGAUAGGCGGGAGCCUUUGAAACCGGAGCGCUAGCUUCGGUGGAGGCGCUGGUGGGAUACCGCCCUGACUGUAUUGAAAUUCUAACCUACGGGUCUUAUCGACCCGGGAGACAGUGUCAGGUGGGCAGUUUGACUGGGGCGGUCGCCUCCUAAAGUGUAACGGAGGCGCCCAAAGGUUCCCUCAGAAUGGUUGGAAAUCAUUCGUAGAGUGCAAAGGCAUAAGGGAGCUUGACUGCGAGACCUACAAGUCGAGCAGGGACGAAAGUCGGGCUUAGUGAUCCGGUGGUUCCGCAUGGAAGGGCCAUCGCUCAACGGAUAAAAGCUACCCCGGGGAUAACAGGCUUAUCUCCCCCAAGAGUCCACAUCGACGGGGAGGUUUGGCACCUCGAUGUCGGCUCAUCGCAUCCUGGGGCUGUAGUCGGUCCCAAGGGUUGGGCUGUUCGCCCAUUAAAGCGGUACGCGAGCUGGGUUCAGAACGUCGUGAGACAGUUCGGUCCCUAUCCGUCGUGGGCGUAGGAAAUUUGAGAGGAGCUGUCCUUAGUACGAGAGGACCGGGAUGGACGCACCGCUGGUGUACCAGUUGUUCUGCCAAGGGCAUAGCUGGGUAGCUAUGUGCGGAAGGGAUAAGUGCUGAAAGCAUCUAAGCAUGAAGCCCCCCUCAAGAUGAGAUUUCCCAUAGCGUAAGCUAGUAAGAUCCCUGAAAGAUGAUCAGGUUGAUAGGUUCGAGGUGGAAGCAUGGUGACAUGUGGAGCUGACGAAUACUAAUAGAUCGAGGACUUAACCAU
rnacentral:rRNA from 1 species